GACGAACGCUGGCGGCGUGCUUAACACAUGCAAGUCGUACGGUAAGGCCCUUUCCGUGGUCCACGAGUGGCGAACGGGUGAGUAACACGUGCGUAACCUUCCCCCACCUUUGGGAUAACGCUAGGUACCUGGUGCUAAUACUGGUUAUGUGCUCCUUCUUCAUGGUGGGGGUUGGAAAGCUCCGGCGGUUGUGGCUGGCCUCGCGGCCUAUCUGCUUGUUGGUGGGGUUGUGGCCUACCAAGGCGGCUGCGGGUAGCCGGCCUGCGUGGGUGACCGGCCACACUGGGACUGAGAUACGGCCGAGACAGCGACGGGAGGCAGCAGGGGGGAAUAUUGAACAAUGGGCGCAAGCCGGAUGCAGCAGCGCCGCGGGCGGGAUGACGGCCUUAGGGUUGAAAAACGAUUUCAGAAGGGACGAAGCUUUUUGUGACGGUACCUGCAGAAGAAGCACCGGCUAACUACGUG
rnacentral:rRNA from 1 species